rnacentral:tRNA from 1 species
GCGAGUGUAGCCAAGUGGUUAAGGCAUUGGGUUGUGGCUCCAAUAUUCGCGGGUUCGAUUCCCGUUAUUCGCC